UACAGAGGGGGCAAGCGUUGUUCGGAAUUACUGGGCGUAAAGGGCGCGUAGGCGGCCUGUUAAGUCGAACGUGAAAUCCCCGGGCUCAACCCGGGAACUGCGUCCGAUACUGGCAGGCUUGAAUCCGGGAGAGGGAUGCGGAAUUCCAGGUGUAGCGGUGAAAUGCGUAGAUAUCUGGAGGAACACCGGUGGCGAAGGCGGGUCUCUGGGCCGAAACUGACGCUGAGGAGCGAAAGCGUGGGGAGCAAACAGG
rnacentral:rRNA from 1 species